rnacentral:lncRNA from 1 species
GACCCUCUCCGCCAUUUAAAGAAACAGUACCGGGGGCGGGCCGAGCGACGCAGCCGGGACGGUAGCUGCGGUGCGGACCGGAGGAGCCAUCUUGUCUCGUCGCCGGGGAGUCAGGCCCCUAAAUCGAAGAAGCCCUGGCGCGCCCUCCCCCCCUCCCGGGUCUGGUAGGGCGAAGGAACGGGCGUGCGGUCGAUCGAGCGAUCGGUUGGCGGCUCUUUCUCCUGCUCUGGCAUCCAGCUCUUGGGGCGCAGGCCCGGCCGCCGCGGCGCGCGCCCGGUGGCCGUUGGCGCUCGCGCCGCGUCUUUCUUCUCGUACGCAGAACUCGGGCGGCGGCCUAUGCGUUUGCGAUUCGACGAGGAGUCGUCCGGGUGGUCGGCGGCGGCGGGCAGCUGCUCCGCCCCGCUCCGGGGGAGGCGGCGGCGGCAGCGGCCGCGGGAUUUGGAGCGGCCGGGGAGGCGGGGGUGGCCGGGGCCGGCUUGGAGGCCUGGCGCCACCCUUCGGGGCCUGCAAGGACCCAGUUGGGGGGGCAGGAGGGGGCCGGAGGAUGGUUGGUUGUGGGAUUUCUACUUUGCCUUUUCCUCCUUAUGCCGCCUUAGUGAGGGGCGGGAGCUCUGGCGGCAGCCCCGGGGUGGGGAGACGAGCUCCGGAGUCGGAAGAGCUGGGUUUUCUUCCGGGCCUAGCCACCAGUUGGCGGAGUGACCUUAGGCGAGUCACUCUGUAAUUUGUCUGCGCCUCAGUUUCCUCCUCUGCCUAUCAAUGUGUGUGGGGUUGAAAUCGCUUUGUAAACUAUAAAGCGUGGGUGUACGUAAAGGAUGGUUAUUGUUUAUAAUUUUUUUUGAGUUGUAAGAAAACUUAGCAGUUCCCCAAUCCUUGGGUUUUGAACCUGGGAACCUUGGAUUGGAGUUGGGGAUCCCCAAACUUCCUGAAAUUGUGGGAAUGUGCGGUUUGGGGGAAUGAUGGGAAUUUGUGGGAAUGUGCGUUUUAGGGGAAUGAUGAUCCAUCGCUAGCAAGUUUUCCAAGGGGGCUGUGACCCAGAAGAGUUAAGAAUCACAAUUUCUUCAUGCUACAGAGAGGAAACUGAGGCCUAGAUGUCAUUUGGGACCCUUCACAACCAUUUUGAAGCCCUGUUUGAGUCCCUGGGAUAUGUGAGCUGUUUCUAUGCAUAAUGGAUAUUCGGGGUUAACAACAGUCCCCUGCUUGGCUUCUAUUCUGAAUCCUUUUCUUUCACCAUGGGGUGCCUGAAGGGUGGCUGAUGCAUAUGGUACAAUGGCACCCAGUGUAAAGCAGCUACAAUUAGGAGUGGAUGUGUUCUGUAGCAUCCUAUUUAAAUAAGCCUAUUUUAUCCUUUGGCCCGUCAACUCUGUUAUCUGCUGCUUGUACUGGUGCCUGUACUUUUCUGACUCUCAUUGACCAUAUUCCACGACCAUGGUUGUCAUCCAUUACUUGAUCCUACUUUACAUGUCUAGGCUGUGUGGUUGGUGGUGAAUAGGCUUCUUUUUACAUGGUGCUGCCAGCCCAGCUAAUUAAUGGUGCACGUGGACUUUUAGCAAGCGGGCUCACUGGAAGAGACUGAACCUGGCAUGGAAUUCCUGAAGAUGUUUGGGGUUUUUUUCUUUCUUAAUCGAAAGUUAACAUUGUCUGAAAAGUUUUGUUAGAACUACUGCGGAACCUCAAAAUCAGUAGAUUUGGAAGUGAUUCAAAGCUAAACUUUUUCCUUGGCCCUCCUUGUGUUCUAAUUGCUUGCAAGUGUAAUACUAGGAUGUCCAAGAUGCCAGUUUUUGCUUCUUUGUUAGUUGUCAGCUGCUUUUAUCAAAUUUCAGGCCAUUAUCCAACAAACACUAUAAAAAUGUUUGAACAAUUGGAUUUCAAACAUUUUCGUUUUGUGGAGUGGUGCUCACCAAGUGGUACAGCCCUAAGCAAGUGAACACAAACACAUUUAAGUGUAUUUUGUCUGAUUAGAUGUUAGCCAGUUAUGCUAUUUCAUUCAAAUGUCUGAAAAAAUCAAUUGACUAUUCCCUUUUCCUAAAGGGCAGAGACAGAUAAUCUCACUUCCAGAGAAAUGACUUGGAGAAAAAAAAGUGUUGGUCUUUUUGCUCUUUUGUAAUUAAAUCCGGAUGUACCUCAAAAGACUUAAGACUGUGGUGAUAAGAUGCUUUCCUCAGCAGAAAGGAGGGAAAAAAAACAACUGGAACUCAAAGCUUGAAAUUCUGUGGCAAAACAUGAGAUGUCCAGGAUUGGAGGUUGAAAAGAUUUCACUACAGUGUUCUGCAAUAGUUGGAGCAGAUAACUUUCAGUGUAGCCACAGCCAUGGACUCCAGAUUUCCAGAUUUUCAAGACCUGGACCUGGAACCCGAAAGAGCUUGUCACGAUGCGGCAGGAACACUGGAGGUAGAUUUUUUUUUAUUUUUGAAUUUUGGGACUGUUGACCUUGCUGUGAGAAAAGAGACAACGACUGAGCAAGCACUACCACCAGCACUGUUACUGGGAAUUAGAAGACCUGAGUUUCUGUCCAGACCCUCAGUGCAAACUGAGGAUGCUCCAUCCAAAGUGAAUUAUGUCCUGUGCCUCCUGAUUGCUGAGUGUUCACCUGGACCUUCUGACUACCUUCCCUGUGCUAUUCCAUCAGCCUACAGACCUGGUACCUGGAUUUUUGCCCGAGAUGAUUCCUACCACCUUACUACUGACGAAGACACCCAUUCCAGUGGACCACUGUGACCCAGGAGGCAUUCAGCCAUCAUGAUGUGGCCUUUACCUCCACUCCUGUCUUGUUCUACCCAGAUUCAGCACAGCCCUUUAUAGUGAAGUCAGAGUCCUCAAGCCAAAUAGCUAAAGCUGUUUUAUCACAACAAAGGCCUAGUUUGUUCCAUGAGUGUGCAUUUCAUUUCUUCAGUUAAAGCCUUCAGAGACACACAAUAAAUUUGGACCAGGGGAUUUUUUAGUUAUUAAUGCUCUCUGAAGAAAGGCAACAUCUUUUUGAGAGCAGCAUUGGACCACACCCCACAAUCUCAAAUGAUUGAAAUUCAUGAACAUCUAGGAUCCCGUGAAGGUCACUGGACCCUGUUUUUUCUACUUCAAAUCCUGUAGUAGCCUACUGAAUGAGAAAACAUAUUCUGACCCAUUGGGAUCAAAUCAAAGGCACAGUGAACUCCUCAUAGCAUCUUCUUUGGAAUUACUCAGGAACCAGAACUUUUUACACAAAUGUAAGAAAUUCUACCAAGGAGUCCCCUUACCUAACAGCAUCUCACAAGGCUGCACCAGAUUCCAGAAAAGGCUUCUCUUGAUACAUCAAGGUAGAACCUCUAUGCAUUUUGUGACCGACUUAUUCUUAGAUCAUUGGUUUUCCAAAGGCUUUGUGGCCAUGAAGCCCUUUGAGUGAAAACUGUGCAGAAGCCCAGAGUAAAAGUGAAGCUGCUCUGGAUGAAGUAGUGAAGCAAGAGUAGGGGCCUGAAUCCUGCUACAACUAUCUUCCUUUACCACCGUGGUGACACCUAAGGGGACUUCCUUACAACACCUUGAACUCUUCCGAACACAGUUUGAAAACCACUGCCCCAGACAGCAAUAUGUUUGACCUGAAUGGCAUUCCAAUCUUUUCUGUACCUCCACUCAGCACAGUUCAUGUUCAGUAGAUGCUGAACAUUCUUAGAAAUACUGUGUGUGAACUUAGAAAAGUGCAAGAAGACAGGCAUGUCUUUGACCCCAGGAAUGAUCAUUUGCUGAAGAUGGUGUCAAGUGAACCUAGAUUAACAGCCCUCCACUCCAGAUGGAUAUCCAGUGAUUCCUAGAAUGGGAUAUAGCCAGAGAACAAUUCUAUGCACCCUACACUGACAGACUCCCUUAAGCAACACCAGAUGCUCUACUGGUACUUGAAGUACAUGACUUUGAAGUCUUGACCCUCCAUGAAUACCUGAAUUAUCAGCAAGCGGGUUUUGAAGCUGGUGCCUCAUUGAGGCCAUAUUAGAGCAACUUGUACAUUUGACCUCUUGUUAUCAGCCAUGGUACUCUACUUCGUGUGCAAGAGAUAACUAUGAAAGCCAAAUUCAAAUACUGGCAACAUUUCCUAAAGGGGCUCAAUAUCUAUCAUUCGUCUUCUUUUCCAAACUACACAUCACUGUAUGACUCAACCAGUAGCAGUUAUAUUGCCCCUUGGUUUUUAUUCAGUUUAACUACUGUUUCCAAGAUAAAUGAGCUAAUAAGCUUUAAAAAAAAAAAAAAAAAAGGCUGAAUUCUUUUUUCUUCAUCACUGGCAUAUCUGCCUAUUCUCCAGAAUUAUUAUGACUAUUCAGCUCACUUUAACAGUUGAACUUCAAGCGACAAUCUUUGAACACCCCUUCUCAUGUGAUUUAAAAUGAAACCAUUUGGAAAAGUUUCUUCUAGCCAGUAAUAGAUUUUUUUUUUAAUUGCUCUGCCUUGUGCCGAGAGAUGUUCUUUUAAGAUGAAUCUUUUGAUGUCUGAUACCACCAAAUAUAGGUGGUAGGGAGAGUUGGAGGCUGGCCCUUUGAGCAGGCCAUUAGCUUACUUGCUGGGCAUUUCCGAUAGCUUAUUGCCUACCUUUUUGCUGGAAACAAACUGAUUUGAAAAACAAAAUCUAUGAAGACUGCAGCUAAGGAUUUUAUCGGUAGACUUAAGAGCUUUUGUCCUUGUGGAUAUUUUAGUGGAACCACAUCAGUCUCAAUACUGUCAUUUUACACUGACUCAGAGCAGCUGACUUCAUUCCUUGCCAUGAUAUAUAUUUAAGGCAGGCAUUGUAACAGACAUAAAGACAACUUAUCUGUUUCAGCAGGAAGGAUUCAGUUUAUGAACUCUCAGACCAGAUCAUGUUGAACAAGGAGACUUUGAUGUGUGUCAUGAGAAAACUCAUUCUUUACUUCCCAGUCAAUUUAAAGGCCAGCUAUCCUGAGCUACUCGAAUGAAUGCACUGGUUAAACAUUGGAAAUAGUUUGUUUAUAUCCUUGUCUCUCUCUAGGCCAAUUGUGAUUACAUGACUCGACUCUACAUCUCGUCAAACAAGGCCUAGGUCUGGUUGCUGUAGACUGCUCGCCCUCAACAAAUAAAAUCUGGUUGACUAGCCUCCUUGUAUAUACAACUAUUAUUUGUUAAGAAGAAAUUAUCGUCAAUUUUCUACUACCUUCCAAUUGUCAGCUCUUUUUUUCCUCUCUGGUUUUUCCUAUACUUUACAGAAAAAGACAUUGAUCUAUACUGCCAUUCCCUCUAAUCCUGCCAUACUCAGUCAAAAGGAAUGACUUAAGAUGAAGAUGAUCAUCUGCUCGAGUCUAAAAUAUACAUUGUAUAUAAGAAUUGGUGAUUAGAAAAGCAAAAAACCUAAAACUUAAAUCUAGGAGUCUGUAUACUGUCUCCAUGUCUCCAUGCCUCAGAUCUCAUCUAAAUCUUUGAACAGCACCAUUCAACCAAUCUGAGGCCUUGACUUGCUUGUAAGAUGAUUCUCAGAGAUCGGCUGAGUUAAAAAAGAUGACGACUUGAUUACCAAAGAAAGUAGGGCCAACUUUGACAAAUCUGGCUCUGCUGACCCUGUCACUCCCAGAUGUAGCAUAGACUCCUAAACAGAACCUCAAGUCUGAUUGAGGAUAAGGCCUUCUCCUGAGCUGAAAGUUCUUUGGCAGAUGAGCAAGAAACUGAAAGCUGAUGUACCUGACUGGCUCUGUAAGAUCAGAAAACUGUAUCCAGAAUAAGCCCUAUGGAUUAACCCCUGAGUACCCAGAGUAAAAACUAAUUUACAGAACUUCCUUAUUGAUCUGCUGGUUCUUCCAGAUCAUAUUCUGGCUAUUGGUAUGGCUGGCCUUUCUGAAGGUACCCUGCUUGUCUAUUUUCCUGACUCAGCUCUUGCCUGCCUUUUUCACAUGUUGCUGCAAUUAGACUCACCGUGAGGACUACAGUCAAUUUCAGUCUAUCUUGUGCCCAAUACAACAAGGAUUUUUAAUAGUAACAACCCACACCUCACCCACUAGGACUCAAUGUUCACAACAGGAAGGACCAUUGCUGCAUACUCCUUGACCAGCAACUUUUUUGAAGAUAUUUUUAAGUGCAGAGUAGGCCUCUAUUCCUGUAUGUAAUUGUUCAUUUUCAGCACCUGGAACCUCAUCUAUCGGGUCUGGAAGGAAUACAGCAGUUCGAAAGCCGCGUCCAUUUCUCUCCUUCAGUAGUGCAGAAAUGAGUCCGAUUCACCAGUACACACAGAACUGUACCAGUUCAACCUAGCAAAAGAAGAAAAGUUUCCACUGUACUUAAAAUUUACAGCUGACUCAAAUUGCCUCACAGAAUUAUUUGAUGUAGAAGGCUAGUUGUCUUACUUCAGAUCAGCAGGACAGUUGGGCUCUCAGACUCAUGACCACUGAGUUUGCUUGUGUUGAAACUGUGGUUUCAUCCAACAUAUGCUAUUGGACAUGAUUAUUAUUCCAUUCAAAUGGAUUACAGACUUCUUGAGGACAGGACAAACUUAUCUCUCAUGGUGUUUUUUUAGAAUACUUUUAUAACCAAGGAAGAAACCAUGCCAGCUGUUACCAUUCAACUUCUUAAGCAGAGAUUAAGCUUUUUCAUAUCUGUUCUUAUCCUGGACAUCAGUAGUUUUUAAUUGCCCAGCAUCCGUUCCAUCUUGUAACAACUCCCUGAUGUUUCUUAAAACCACCUCUUCCUAUUUUCAGUCUGUGGUUUGGACAGUCUGACCCAACCUUGAGCUUUGUGGGUGAACAUGUAAUUCAGACCUCAUCAAUCAGCAAAUCCAUCUGAACUGUGGAGGAGAAGCUCUCUUUACUGAGGGUGCUUUAGCUUUGUAGGAUGAAAACCUCAAACUAACAGGGCCUACCAUGUAGAGAAUGAAGCCAGUGCAGGGGAAAGCAGAGCCAAAAUAUGGAGAGACUUGAAUCCUGAUGACAGCGUUUGUGCCCCUGGAUCCAACCGUGCCUGAAGCUAGAAUAUCCCCUGGACUUUUCAGUUAUGUGAACCAAUAAAUACCCUUUUUUGCUUAAGUUACUUUGAGUUGGGUUUCUGUUACUUGAAAUUGAAUCCACACUAAUAUAUCUACCAACAUUGAGACUUGACAGAUCCAAGUAUUUAUUAAGCUAGAGGUCAUGGUCACUGAAAUUACUUUCCAAAGUGGAAGACAAAAUGAAACAGGAACUGAGGGAAUAUUUAAGAUCCCACAGAAGCGUAAAAAUGACAUGGUAGAAAGUAAUAGAAAACCUAAAUGUCUGUCAUUAAAGGAUAGGUUAAGGUGUGGUUCAGCCAUAUAGGAAUAUCUCGUAUCUGUUAAAAUGAAUAAAGUACAUUCAUUGUGUAUGGAAAAAUGGCCAUGAUACAUUAGGUGAAACAAGUUAUUAAUAGAAAAGUGUACAGUGUGAACUCAUUUUAAAAUGUGUGUGCUUAUGUUUAUAAAUGCAUAGAAAGGUCUAUUCACAGCUUUCUUUGAACAGUGUAGAUCACAUGAAACUUUCAACUUUAUACAUUUCUGUAUUAAUAUUUUACACUACCCACAUUAUUUUUAAACUUUAUUUUAAAUAAAGAAUUUUUAAAAUUAAAUUUAGUGCUUACUGUUUGACCUUGGCAAGUUAUUCAACACUGAGCCUGUUUUAUC